rnacentral:rRNA from 1 species
UAAGGGCGUAUGGGGAUGCCUAGGCUCUCAGAGGCGAAGAAGGACGUGAUAAGCUGCGAAAAGCUGCGGGGACGAGCACACAUCGAUCGAUCCGCAGAUAUCCGAAUGGGGCAACCCACUAUGUUGAAGACCAUAGUACACCGAUAGNGUGG